rnacentral:lncRNA from 1 species
UGCUCCUUCGUUAUUGAUGCUUGUAGUAUUUACAUUUACACUGGACCUGCCACAGAUGUAACAGGAGUCUCAAGGAGUAACAUAGUUGAGUCGUUUACAUACAGCCAGCCAGGCCCAGGUGGCCAGGCAGGAACUCAACUAUUAUGUAGCCAGGGCCAAGGGUGUUGGUCUGCAGCCAGCAGCCACCACACUCCAUCCAGGUGCUGCUGUUCCUCCUCAAUCCUGGCCAGAUGCCACCGCUACAGCUACUACUGCUACACGUCCAAUUCUCGUAACAGGUCUGUCUCUGAAGGUUUCCAUCUGGACAUCUUUAGAUCCA